rnacentral:misc_RNA from 1 species
GAUGAAGAACGCAGUGAAAUGCGAUAAGUAAUGUGAAUUGCAGAAUUCAGUGAAUCAUCGAAUCUUUGAACGCACAUUGCGCCCCUUGGUAUUCCGAGGGGCAUGCCUGUUCGAGCGUCAUUAUAACCCCUCAAGCUCAGCUUGGUGUUGGGGCCUGCCGCACGGGCAGCCCUUAAAAUCAGUGGCGGUGCCAUCUGGCUCUAAGCGUAGUAAUUCUUCUCGCUAUAGAGUCACGGUGGAUGCUUGCCAUUAACCCCCAAUUUUCAAUGGUUGACCUCGGAUCAGGUAGGGAUACCCGCUGAACUUAAGCAUAUCAAUAAGCGGAGGA